GACGAACGCUGGCGGCGUGCUUAACACAUGCAAGUCGAACGGAAAGGCCCUGCUUUUGUGGGGUGCUCGAGUGGCGAACGGGUGAGUAACACGUGAGUAACCUGCCCUUGACUUUGGGAUAACUUCAGGAAACUGGGGCUAAUACCGAAUAGGAGCUCCUGCGGCAUGGUGGGGGUGGGAAAGUUUCGGCGGUUGGGGAUGGACUCGCGGCUUAUCAGCUUGUUGGUGGGGUAGUGGCUUACCAAGGCUUUGACGGGUAGCCGGCCUGAGAGGGUGACCGGCCACAUUGGGACUGAGAUACGGCCCAGACUCCUACGGGAGGCAGCAGUGGGGAAUAUUGCACAAUGGGCGGAAGCCUGAUGCAGCAACGCCGCGUGCGGGAUGACGGCCUUCGGGUUGUAAACCGCUUUCGCCUGUGACGAAGCGUGAGUGACGGUAAUGGGUAAAGAAGCACCGGCUAACUACGUG
rnacentral:rRNA from 1 species